GGGGGGUGGGGGGGGGGGGGGGGGUGGAGUUCCAUGGAUCAGCUUGCUCAUCUCAGUUACCUGUCUCAGUGUGCUUACCGAUCGGUCAACAUUCUGCCAGAAGUGGAAAGCACAUGAUGACAGUUGGUUAGAAAGCAUUGGACCUUCUUCAAUAUUAAAAUUUACUUAGAAAGCAUGGAAGCUUCUUCAACAUUCAAGGCAUGCAUGUUGCAGCUUUGAACGUACCAGGGCCUAUCCAUCCUGUCUCAGAAUCAGUGUCUGGUUCAUCGGUCAGAAGUGGCUAAUCAAUCUAUCUGGAUAAUUCCCGUAAAGUAACGCUCUAUUCCAAGGAUUUCAACUCAGUCAAAAUUCCCUGAAUGCCCAAUGGUUCAGAGGACAGGGGAGGGGUUGCUCUGGCUGAGGAUAUUUGGCCCAUUUAUGGAACAAACCGUUGAUGCAGCAAACGGGUUCAAUUCAUUGAGGGAAGUUACCAAUUCAGGGGGGGAAAAAAGAGGUGGCUGGUAUGAUCUGAUGCUGAAGCUCAAUGCAGUACAUCAAAUCUCUUCUUUUUUGCAGCCAAAAUUGACUCUGUCAAAAAAGUACCAGCCAGUAAGUGACAUACGAACAUAUGGGUUAAGGUAUCAAUUUACUUCUCAUGGAAGGUUAAGAAUGUAUCGAAGUAUACGAGAGAGAUCUGGUCUGAUUUUGUGCCUCCCUUUUGCCUCUAUAAAACUAACCUACAGGGCCCCAGAAGGAGCAAAGCACAACCACCAAAACACCUCUAGCUAGAUCGACCCAAUGCAAGCACAAGAAUAGAGAGCUUCGUCUCCAUACCACACUUGGUCACCAUGGCACAUGUCAAGAAGGGCACGGGUGUUCUGCUGUUGGCAGCUCUUGUCGUGGACCUCGUGGUCAUUGCCACGGUCUUCUCAUCUUGCCAUGCAGCAGCAGACUACUGCCACGCGAUCGUUCCGUGCUCUGACGAGACGUGCACCAACUACUGCCAGAAGAACAACUUCAAGAACUUCCAGACGUACUGCACGCCGGGCCAGUACUACCCCAGCUGCUGCUGCCGAGUGCCGGAUGCAUGAACGAUGCCCGGCGGCCGGCGUCUGAUCCGGCUGCCACCGCCGCACCGCCGGAAAAAUGUGGUCAUCACCGGGCAGGAGUAAUUUGUGUAACGGUAGUACAUAGUAUGAAUGGAUGGGGUGAUGCUAUACAUAGUGUUUUCUGUCUCUGCAAAUAUCCUGAAAAAAUAUUCAGCAGAUUUUCCCUGUCAGUAGCUUCAUCACAUUGGCUGGGCCAGGCCCAUUAAAAAUCAAGCCUAGUUUCCUUUUAGACAAAUACGGCCUGUUGUACUUAUUCUAAACAAUAUGGCGGUUUAAACAGAACUGAAAUCGGAUUCAUGGUUUCAGUCAAAAAGUGCAUUUCAAGGAUGAGAUUCAAAAUAA